rnacentral:misc_RNA from 1 species
AGGAUUUAUUGAGCAACGACAUGAAGUACAACCAAACUUUAGAAGAACCUUGAGUUCCAAGUUGAGAAGACUGGUUGCGCAAGGAAAACUUGAAAAGGUCCAGAAGUGCUAUAAGAUGAAAGAUGCAACAUCAGAAACCAAUAUAUCUACUCCACAACAAAAUGAUGUCCGGUCAUGGCCAGUUCCGAAUUCGGUUCCAAGACAAAGUGAUGUCCUGUCUUGGCCAGUUCCGAGUUCAGCUCCAAAACAAAAUGAUGUCCUGUCAUGGCCAGUUCUGAAUUCUGCUCCAAAGCAAAAUGAUGUCCGGUCACGACCAGUUCCAAAUAUGGCUUCAAAACAAAAUGAUGUCCGGUCAUGGC